UUGUGUGUUAGUGGAACGGUCUGGAAAGUCCGACGGUACAGGGUGAUAGUCCCGUACACCAAAAUGCACAGGCUGUGAACUCGAAGAGUAGGGCGGGACACGUGGUAUCCUGUCUGAAUAUGGGGGGGACCAUCCUCCAAGGCUAAAUACUCCUGACUGACCGAUAGUAAACCAGUACCGUGAGGGAAAGGCGAAAAGAACCCCGGCGAGGGGAGUGAAAAAGAACCUGAAACCGUGUACGUACAAGCAGUGGGAGCACCUUCGGGUGUGACUGCGUACCUUUUGUAUAAUGGGUC
rnacentral:rRNA from 1 species